rnacentral:rRNA from 1 species
CAGCAGCCGCGGGAAUACGGAGGGAGCUAGCGUUGUUCGGAAUUACUGGGCGUAAAGCGUACGUAGGCGGUUAUUCAAGUCAGAGGUGAAAGCCCGGGGCUCAACCCCGGAACUGCCUUUGAAACUAGAUGACUGGAAUCUUGGAGAGGUCAGUGGAAUUCCGAGUGUAGAGGUGAAAUUCGUAGAUAUUCGGAAGAACACCAGUGGCGAAGGCGACUGACUGGACAAGUAUUGACGCUGAGGUGCGAAAGCGUGGGGAGCAAACAGGAUUAGAUACCCCGGUAGUCCCUGUCUCUUAUAC